ensembl:lncRNA
GACUUGGGCAUAGUACACUGCCUGUCUCCCCUUUCCUUCCCACAGUUCAUUUGGUAGAGGGAUUUAGAACACAGCACUCUAGUCAGACACUAAAGAAGUCUCAAUCCUCAAGCCAGAGAGCACACAUUCUCCAGCAUGGUAAUACGUAGGUCUGAUAGCUUGCUAAUGCUAUUUCAAAUCCACUUACCUGUUCUUUUCUUUUUUCAUACCUCUUUUGAACUCAAGAAAGCUGAUCUAUAUUUAACAGUGUACCUGAAGCUACAGAAAAUUGCUCAAGCUAAGAGAAAAUGCCUCCACAACACCUAAGCUGCCAGUGUGUCUGGUGUUAGACAGUGGACCUAUUCUUGUUUUCACGGGAGCCAUGCUCGUCUUAAUUUGAGUAAAAGCUUGUUUUUCAAGAUUUCAUUAUGAUGCUUUAUGAAGCUGUCUUCAGACACACCAGAAGAGAUCAUCGGAUACCACUAGAGAUAGUCAUAAGCCACCAUGUUGUUGCUGGGAUUUGAACUCAGGACCUCUGGAACAGCAGUCAGUGAUCUUAACCUCUGAGCCAUCUCUCCAGACCCUACUCUACUCUUUAAACUGAAACAUCUUUCAAAUACAUGGCUUCCCUGCUGCCUUCAGACAUCCACAGAGCACAAGGGUAUGGCAGGAUGGACUAGGAAGUGAACUGUUACACAACUGCUGUGAGCCAAAAAGAAACAGCACGGCACACUGAUUCUCAACUAACAUCUGAACUGCAUGUGCUGUCCAGAAGAAAACACUGACAACUUUACUGAAAAAUGAACAAACAAACAAAAAAGCCCAGGGCUGUCCCAGAGUCUUAGCCAGACUGGCUCCUUUAAGCUCAGAUGAGAGGUGUACUGUGGAGGGACAACAGUCUGGGACAACUGAAGAUGUUCUGAUCGUCUUCCUGUCUGGAAAGACAGGGACCAAACGUGGAGCAGAGAUUAAAAGAGGGGCCAUCCAGGGACUGCCCCACCUGAGGAUCCAUCGAGUCUGCAGACAGCAAACCCCAACACUACUGCUGUUGCCAAGAGGAGCUUGCUGACAGGAACCUGGUGUGGAUGCUCCUUGGGAGAUUCUGCCAGCAACUGACCAAUGCGGAUAUGGAUGCUUGGAGCCAACUAUCAGACUGCACUCAGGGAUCUCAGUUGGGGAGCUGAGGAGGAUUGCAACCCCAUAGGAAGAACAUCAACUAGCUGGACCACCCAGUGCUCCCAGGAACUAGACCACCAACCAAGGAGUGUGCAGGGAGG